UACAGAGGUCUCAAGCGUUGUUCGGAUUCAUUGGGCGUAAAGGGUGCGUAGGUGGCGCCGUAAGUCAGGUGUGAAAUUUCGGAGCUUAACUCCGAAACUGCAUUUGAUACUGCGGUGCUUGAGGACUGGAGAGGAGACUGGAAUUUACGGUGUAGCAGUGAAAUGCGUAGAGAUCGUAAGGAAGACCAGUGGCGAAGGCGGGUCUCUGGACGAGU
rnacentral:rRNA from 1 species